rnacentral:sRNA from 1 species
CACAAAAACAAAACAAAAA